rnacentral:lncRNA from 1 species
AGGUUGCUGCCUUUCCUUCAGGUGCAGGAAGACCCCAGUGUACUGGAACAAUAAAUUCCUCUUGCUUUUGCAUCGAUCCCUAGCUCCAAGUUGUUCACUGUGGCAGGGGUAGGGGUCCCAGGUAAGCUAAGGCUCGUUAGAGUCUUACAUUUGGUGCAUGGGCUGGGAAUUCGACCUCCUGUGAGGACACACCAGAGAGCCGUGAAUCAGAGGUCUCGAGCAGGUACCAAGGUUCUUUCUUGUUUGCCUUGCUGUUUGUCAAAGUCUGAGUCUGUAAGUCUGUUUGAACUUUUGGUUUGCUUGCAAGUGUCGGGGGCUUGGAGAGUUUAUGGUAUCUGGGGUGGUUAAGUGCAGCUGACAGACGUGCCUUAACAUUGAGACUGCUGGGAAUUUGGGGGAUACUCCAGAGACCCUGAAGGGAACUGGGAGGGCUCCACUCCUUCUGGAAACAGCAAGACAGUAUUGGCAGGAGCUGAGUCUUCCUAUAAUCUGGCUCCUGCUGUACUGGCAGGGACGCCUGGUUUGUCUUGGUGAGGCUGGAGCCAGCCAAGCAACUCUGCUCUGCGUCCAUGGAAGGGACGAACUGUCUGUAACUGUGACCAUGAAAGGGAUGAACUGUGUGUUGAUUGUCUUUCUCUGUGUUUGUUGGUGUUGGUUACCUCAUUCUAUGUUCUUGGACUUGGACUGACGACAUCUUUGGACAUUGGACAGACCGAAUCUACCUUGUUAAACAUUCUAGUUAAUCACUGGAGGGAAGUUAGGAAAAGAAGAGAAGAGCAAGUUUAACUGACUCUGUUCUCAGAAUGGCCCACUUUUGGAGUAAGGGGGCCACCUGUAGGGACCUUCAACUUGCAGGUGAUCAAAGCAGUAGAGGAAAAAGUCUUUAGGCCAGGAUCCCUGCUGCACCCAGACCAAGUGUCCUGGAAGAAUCUCGUGGAGAACCCACCCCCCUUCCCCUCCCCACCGAUAAAAGCCUUUCUUUCCCCAAGACCCACCUCACAGGUUCUGACUGUCGGGAAGAAAGAAGCACGGGAGGAGGGAUCCGGGCCUGAGAGAAGUCAAUCCUCCAAGACCCUUCGCCAGCGGAUCUGUUGCUCCAAGACCCUCCUCCUCCAUAUCACCCUUCCCUUUCCCCCAUGGCCCUGCCGGUGCUGGCUCCAGCUCUGGAAUCCUCAGCCCAUAUAGGACCAGGGCCAUUGUAUCCCACUUUACCGGAGGAAUGAACAGGAGGAGAACCCCAACUUCCCGGUCCUGCCAUGGGGACCCAAAGUCUGAGAGCCACCUCCCCUGAUACCACGGUGGCUCUCUUGCUGGGGACAUAUGGGCCUCUGGAAAAGGGCAAUCAGGCUAUGCAAUAUUGGCCCUUCUCUUUGGCUGACUUGUACAACUGGAAGGCCCAACCCCCCCCCCUUUCCCAAGGGGCAGAUUAAUGUCUUUGAGACUGUUUUAUUUACUCAUCAGCCCACCUAGGUGAUAUCCAACAACUCACGAGAGUACUCUUCAUGACCGAAGAGAGAGAAGAUAAUGCAGGAAGCUAGAAAGACAUGGGGGCACCAUCGAUUGACCAGGUUGUUGUCGACAGCGGGCUUUCUCUGACUAGACCUGAGUAGGACUUGUCUUAGUCAGGGUUUCUACUCCUGCACAAACAUCAUGACCAUGUUUUGGGGAAGCAAGCCAUUAAAGAACAUCCCUCCAUGGCCGCCUCUGCAUCAGCUCCUGUUUUCUGACCUGCUUGAGUUCCAGUCCUGACUUCCUUCAGUGAUGAACAGCAGUAUGGAAGUGUAAGCCGAAUAAACCCUUUCCUCCCCAACUUGC